rnacentral:ribozyme from 1 species
AGUCGUUUCAGCGACUCUAAACAGGGCUUUAAGCUGAAAGCGUUUCGCCUGAGUUAAUCGGGCGGAG